CAAAAAUUAAGUCUUAAUUUUUUUUUUCUCUCUCUCUUGGGUUCUCUUCACUGCCAUUUCACUCACAACCGCACCAAUCUUCCCUCUCAUUCCAUUUCAUUCUUCUCUCUGCAGGUCCACGGUCACCGGUGGGGGUUGCGAGGGGCUAGCGCGGGCUCAUUGGGGCUAGAAAACGCAGAGGCCUGGGACUACUCGACAAUGCUUGCAGGUAAAAUCUCACUCUCCACUGUCUCUUCAAAUCCCAGGUGCUGUGUGCUACUACAUAUUGUUUGGAAAUGAAUAAAGGGUGGAAGAGUUUGUUUAUAGAGUAGUGCUCCUUCUUGCAGAUAAAGAUGAGGAGUUGGGAGAGGCACUUGCAGAAAUCAAAUCCCUAAGGAACUCAGAACGCCUUAAACAGAAGGUAGUUGAAGAGAGUAGAUAAGGGUGGAAAGACUGCUGGUUACCGAGAGCCUUGGGAGAUUCUAUAUGACAAGGUUUGUUGAUUGAUAAAGAGGGAGUAUGCAUGGAAGAUGUUGCUCGAAGAUGUUGAAGUUUUACCCUUGUAGUUGCUAAGAUUGUCCGGCUUCAUAAUCCUCCUCUUUAGUUUAUAGGUUUUGGAGAUAAACAAAUUAUAAUUUAUUUGUGGUAUGUAUGGAUUCUGUGUCUUCAUGUUGUCUUUUACAGGGAUACUAUAGUAGUAUUAUAUUUGUCCAAAAUUUGUUUUAUUAGAUUUGUAAAUACUUUGUAUAAGUUUUGUUAUUUUAAUCUAUAAUUUUUUUAGAUU